rnacentral:rRNA from 1 species
UACGGGGGGAGCAAGCGUUGUUCGGAUUUACUGGGCGUAAAGGGCGCGUAGGCGGUCAGCACAAGUCAGUUGUGAAAUCUCCGAGCUUAACUCGGAAAGGUCAACUGAUACUGUGCGACUAGAGUGCGGAAGGGGCAACUGGAAUUCUUGGUGUAGCGGUGAAAUGCGUAGAUAUCAAGAGGAACACCUGCGGCGAAGGCGGGUUGCUGGGCCGACACUGACGCUGAUGCGCGAAAGCCAGGGGAGCGAACGGG